rnacentral:rRNA from 1 species
GGUGAACGCUGGCGGUGCGCCUAAUACAUGCAAGUCGAACGAGACGACUGAGAAGUUUACUUUUCAGUCUGAAAGUGGCGGACGAGCGAGUAACACGUAAGUAUCUGCCCCGUACUCAGGGAUAACUGGUCGAAAGAUCAGCUAAUACCGGAUGGUCCAGCAAUGGUAAAGAUUUAUCGGUACGGGAGGAGCUUGCGGCUUAUCAGUUUGUUGGUGGGGUAAAGGCCUACCAAGACUAUGACGAGUAGCUGGUGUGAGAGCAUGACCAGCCGCGAUGGAACUGAGACACGGUCCAUACUCCUACGGGAGGCAGCAGUAAGGAAUCUUCCGCAAUGGGCGAAAGCCUGACGGAGCGACACCGCGUGGUGGAUGACGGCCUAUGGGUUGUAAACACCUUUUCUAUGGGAAGAAGAUCUGACGGUACCAUAGGAAUAAGCCCCGGCUAAUUACG